rnacentral:rRNA from 1 species
UACGUAGGGUGCAAGCGUUAAUCGGAAUUACUGGGCGUAAAGCGUGCGCAGGCGGUUUCGUAAGUCUGUCGUGAAAUCCCCGGGCUUAACCUGGGAAUGGCGAUGGAGACUGCGAGGCUAGAGUUUGGCAGAGGGGGGUAGAAUUCCACGUGUAGCAGUGAAAUGCGUAGAGAUGUGGAGGAACACCGAUGGCGAAGGCAGCCCCCUGGGUCAAAACUGACGCUCAUGCACGAAAGCAUGGGGAUCAAACAGG